ensembl:lncRNA
CGAGCCUUUAAAUGCGCUGCGUGGACUUUCUUUUCUGUUAUUUACACUCGGUUACGUUCACUUUCCUCGCGCCGAACCCGAGCAAUUAGGGCCAGCGCCGUCUCGCUCCUUCCAUCUUCACCGCGGAGCUGUCAAAGCCCCGGUCCCGCCCCUCCCUCUUCAUCCCGCCGCGCCACAGGCCCCGCCCCGCCGCGCUCUCCAUUGGCCGCGGCGCCGCCCGGGCCCCGCCCCCCGCGCGCGACACCAAUAAAGAGCGCGCCGCGCCGCGUCCAGCCCCCAGUCCGCACGCCGAACAGCCCCGCACGGGAGCGAGCCGACGUCUCUGCGGUGCAGAGCUGGACCGCCGCUCUUCUCCUCCCUCCCCUGUCGCCGCGGACGGACGCCGACACCCGGCUCUGAAGAGAGGAGAAAAGAGCUGAUAAACGUGAAGAGGGGAUGAGGAAAGGAGAGCAUCAUGGGUCAGAGGGGCAGUGGAUGAAAUACAGCCACUCGCGGCAGCCGUGGAAGCACUUGUUGUUUCACCUGCUCGCUAUUUUUGUCCUUUCUCCUCUUACUUUCCCUGCUCAUUCUCCUCAACCCUUCAAUGGACAGGUGAGACAAGUGCUCAUCACCACGGGGCUGACCCGCGACCUCCGACCCCUGGCCUGUCAGCUGCCAAAGGCCCUGCUGGUGGGCUCAGCCCUGAACAGCUGCUUCUGUCUGAACCCUCAUAUAUGGGCGUCAAUGUGUCCAGUACCUUCAAAUAUUCAUCAUCUCUGUUGG